rnacentral:rRNA from 1 species
ACUUCGGUCUGGUGGCGAGUGGCGAACGGGUGAGUAAUGUAUCGGAACGUGCCCAGUAGCGGGGGAUAACUACGCGAAAGCGUGGCUAAUACCGCAUACGCCCUACGGGGGAAAGCGGGGGACCUUCGGGCCUCGCACUAUUGGAGCGGCCGAUAUCGGAUUAGCUAGUUGGUGGGGUAACGGCUCACCAAGGCGACGAUCCGUAGCUGGUUUGAGAGGACGACCAGCCACACUGGGACUGAGACACGGCCCAGACUCCUACGGGAGGCAGCAGUGGGGAAUUUUGGACAAUGGGGGCAACCCUGAUCCAGCCAUCCCGCGUGUGCGAUGAAGGCCUUCGGGUUGUAAAGCACUUUUGGCAGGAAAGAAACGGCGCCAGCUAAUACCUGGCGCUAAUGACGGUACCUGCAGAAUAAGCACCGGCUAACUACGUGCCAGCAGCCGCGGUAAUACGUAGGGUGCAAGCGUUAAUCGGAAUUACUGGGCGUAAAGCGUGCGCAGGCGGUUCGGAAAGAAAGAUGUGAAAUCCCAGAGCUUAACUUUGGAACUGCAUUUUUAACUACCGGGCUAGAGUGUGU